AGAACGAACGCUGGCGGCAGGCUUAACACAUGCAAGUCGAACGCGUGUAGCAAUACACGAGUGGCGCACGGGUGAGUAACGCGUGGAUAUCUGCCUUUUGGUUCGGAAUAACCCCGGGAAACUGGGGCUAAAUACCGGAUGGUUCCUACGGGAUAAAGAUUUAUCGCCAAAAGAUGAGUCCGCGUACGAUUAGCUAGUUGGUGAGGUAAUGGCUCACCAAGGCGACGAUCGUUAGCUGGUCUGAGAGGACGAUCAGCCACACUGGGACUGAGACACGGCCCAGACUCCUACGGGAGGCAGCAGUGGGGAAUAUUGGACAAUGGGGGCAACCCUGAUCCAGCCAUGCCGCGUGAGUGAUGAAGGCCUUCGGGUUGUAAAGCUCUUUUGGCGGGGACGAUGAUGACGGUACCCGCAGAAUAAGCCCCGGCUAACUUCGCGCCAGCAGCCGC
rnacentral:rRNA from 1 species